AAGUCGUAACAAGGUUUCCGUAGGUGAACCUGCGGAAGGAUCAAUCACAAAUACAUACUAACCUAAUCUCAGCCUGUGCUCCACGUGAGUAAGCAGAACAAAACUCUUAAUUUACAACAAAAAUUUUCAACGGUGGAUGUCUUGGCUCUCAU
rnacentral:misc_RNA from 1 species